UACAGCAGCCCGAGCACACUAAUGCAGAUUUUGCUACUAGGAAGAGGGGCACUGUUGUAACGAAUACCUAAACAUGUGGAAGCAACUUUGUAACUGGGUAAUGCGUAGAGGCUGGACAAGGUUUGAGGCACACGAUAGACAUGCUAAAAGCGAUUCUGGUGAGAUCUCAGACAGAAAUGAGGAACAUGUUAUAGGAAACUGGAGGAAAGGUGGUUCUUGUUAUAAAGUGGCAUAGAACUUGGCUGAACUGUUUUCUGGUGUUUAUAGUGUUUGUAGAACUUGCAAGUGAUGAAAUUGGAUAUUUGUCUGAGGAGAUUUUUAAGCAAAACAUUGAAGGAGUAGCUUUGUUCCUCCCAAAUGCUUAUAGUAAAAUGUGAAAGGAAAGAGACAAAUUGAAGAAGAGACCGUUCAGCAAAAAGGAAGCAGAACUCAAAGACUGGGGAACUUCUCAGCCUCUCCACAUUGCAACACGUGAGAAAGCUUGUGAAGAGAGCACUAAGAGAGUGACUGAACAGCCAUUUGAUGGAGAUCAUGGGUGUGACUCACAGACUUACUCAGGCGUUUCAACAGAAGCUAAGAACAGAGAUGCAAUUAUACCAGUGAAGACACUGCCAGUCUGAAUGACAGGGAACAGAAAAAAUAUGAGACGAAAUAAAGGGCAACUGUCAGACUUCUUCAAUCCUGUAGGACUGGACCACAGAGCUAUUUAGCUAUGGAUAUGUGCUGUUCUUCAAGAAAAAGGACGAAGGACUCUGAAGACAGUUUGGAGAUGAUCAGGGCACCUGCUUGUGACAAGUGGGGUCUCUAACAAAUGACUAACAAGUGAUGUUGAAAUCCUUCAGCAACCAAACUCUGGGACCCAAGCUGGCGUGCAAGUUCUGCUCUUGAUUACUGAGCCAGGAUCACCAAAUAACUCCAUCUGUGGAUUGGUUUCUUACAUAGGCCUAUUGACAGGUCAUGGGGACUCGGGUAUUCAAGCCCAUGGAGCAGCUAUAAUUCUUCAUAGUUCUGAAAUCACCUCCAUCACCUGUCAAAGACCUAGGAACUACUGCAGAAUCUUCAUGGGGAGCUUGGCCACCCGGCCAGGACAUCCUUACCUCUGAUGAAGACCAGUGGGCAGUGUCAGUUCAGACUCAGUAGUGCUCUCGAAUGAGCUCCUGGCAUGCUGGGUCUUAAAAGACGAGGCUCAUCCACUCUCACCCCACUGGGCCUCUGCUCUUCCUCAAUUGCAUCCACAUCCAGCCUGCUCCAGGCACAGGGCCUUUGCACUGCCUGUUUCCUCUUCCUGGGGAGAGAGAAGCCUGGGCUGAGAGCGACUGCCCGCUGAUUCACCUCUCGAAGGCCCUUUCCCUGGAUUGGCCACCUCUCCAUCCCUGAACCCGGGGCUAGACCCUGACCGGCCGUGUGCUGAGGAUCUGGGCACCUCUUCCCUGCGUUUCGGACCCGGCACCUGCCACAGUCUGCCACACGGUGGUAUUUCAUGAACGUGUGGAAGGGUGAAUGUCUGCAGAAGAGGCAAGAGGAUGGAGGGUGUCGGAAAAAGAGUGAUGGUGGUGACGUGCCUGAGAGCCCAGCCCCUGGAUGGACAGGCAGACCAAUGCCCCAGCCACUGAAACUGACCCUUGUGCAACAGGAAGACUGGGCUGGAAAAGCAAAAGUCAUCAGGAGAGGUAGGCGCCAUGAGCUGAAGGAGGAGGCCACUUGGAUGACAACAACAGGGUACGAGCCAUCCAAGAUCAGAGGUUAAGUCCAUCCUUCUAUGGCUAAGACUAGACCCACCGAAGGGAAUGCUGUCCCAGUCAAAAUCGGUAAUAAAGAAAAACCACCCCAUGGUGACAGAUGCUGGCCUUCCUGCCCUGAACACCCGUCAUGGCAGGUCUGCCUGCAUCCCACCGCACCCUGACCUUUGCCUCUGGAAGCCAGCCUAGUUGCCAGGGAAACCAGGCUGGAGUCCUAGGAUCAAGCGAUGAUGAAGAGCUGUGUUCAAAAGGAAAAGAACAGGAUUUAUCACUGGCCCUGAUCCUGGGUAUCAUGAAACCCUGACUUCACAUCCUCUCUCGGCACAGGCAGAGCUCCGGGAAGCUGAGCACAUCUGGACCUGUGAGGAGUGAGACAGAAGAUAUAAUGGGAUGACAUGGCUUAGGACAGACACAAGCUCUGAGCCUCCAGCUUCUCUGCAUGUAAUACUGAGAAUUAAUAAGUUACAAGUGUGAGCAUGGGCUGGCACUGUACCAUCAAGCUUUGGGAGGUCCUAUGCCCUGUAAAUGUUGACAGGAAUGACCGAGAAACCUGAAAGGUCCCUGCUGAGCACAAAUGAAGGACGCCACAGUUGUGGAAAACCAAGUGACCAGUAUGAACUGUCUUUGAUGACCAGAGCUGGAGGGUGGAAAGCAUUAGGCCUCUGUGUGAAGACGCCUGAUGGGACCACUGUAGAUAGGGGUCUCCUGACCACCCCACAAAUGCUGGCCUGACCCCGACCCUUCUCUUUCAUGUGUUCCCUGGAUCAAGCAACUAUGGAAUUUAGGUGGCUGAGAUCCGUCCAAGGAACACAUUUUUCAGUGCAUCUGCUCUUUUCUGCAUCAAGGAGACCCCAAAUGUAUGGCUUGUUAAAAAUAGGUACUCUCUCCAGGACUCAUGGGCAGGAAUAGGAAGGAUAAGGUUAUACUGGCUUUCACGUUUGUUCUCUGCACCCCAAUGAAUGGGCCUGUACUUUCAGAGCUUGGUUGUCAAGUCAAGACGCCUAAUAUGAUGAUUGCACCAAUGCAGAGAGAAAGCUAGAAGUCUCAGACGAGUCCAGGACAACUUGUAACACAGGCUAGAACAGCUGUCAUCCGGCAAGGACACACUGACCAUGGUUCACGUACAGCGUCUGUGCUGCACCUACAGUCUGUUCUGGAAAUGUAAUUAGUCUCUUACUUUAGUUACAGAUAACUGGGAAUUACCACUUCCUUUUGGCCACCUGAAGUGGGAGAAAAGUCAAAUCCACAAGGUCCCAAAAUAUGUCUUUAUAACAGAAAAUUGUCAAGUGGUUACUAGACCAGGAUGUCUUCCACACAGGGCUUUUGAGGGGAUCCAACGAGUGCAAGCCAUCAAAGUUCGAAGCACUUAAUAAGUACUUGGCAAAUGUUCAAUGUUAUCUAAUUUUCUGUAAUAUUUAAAAUAUAACCAGCCAGAAACUAGGGCUCCUGGCUUCCCAGAGGCUAGUUCAUUACCUGCGGCUUUCCAUUCUUUAUUGCUCUCUGGCUGAGUUUCCAUCCAGGUCAUAGUGAUUUUGCCUAAGAUAAUAUAAAUUGAGUUCAGUAAGUUGCAUGAUCCGGGUUCUCAAAGACUUGAUUAGCAACAAGAGACAUUACUCAGUGCCAUAGCCUUCCCUGGCUAUAAUUCUGCAAUCUCGUCUCCAGAAGCAGCCAGGUCUCUCUGGCAUAUUGCUGUUUCUGUCUAAAUUCUUGGGGUGUAUCUCCCCACUGGCUCUGUCUGCAGCUCUCUUUCAGCUUAGUCAUUCCCUCUUCAGAACGGAUUUACUAGGGAUUAGCUUUACUUAUUCAUUUAUCACAUUUCUAUUAUAAUCAUACUCACGACCCCAGUCCCUGGAUAGACACAAAACAGAGACAAAGGUCGAGAGAAAAUAUAGGUCCAAGCCCAAAGUCGGCUUCUAUGGAGUCCAGCCUAGUUCUUUUCUUCCAAUCUUCACCUCGCUUCACCCAAUUUAUUUGUUUCUUUUCCAUUAUGGUUUAUUACAGGAUAUUGAAUAUAGUUCCUUGUGCUAUAUAGUAGGACCUUGUUGUUUAUCCAUCCUAUAUAUAAUAGUUUGCAUCUGCUAAUCCCAGACUCCUGAGCCAUUUCUCCCCCACCCCCCUCCCCCUUGGCAACCACAAGUCUGUUCUCUGUGUCUGUUCACUUCACCCAAUUUAUAAAAAAGCACUAAUCAGGUUCUUAGGUCAACAGUCUGAAUUACCUUGGAGAGAAACCUCUGGCGUCUGAAAGGGUACUUUCCCUUAGAAUCAUCCUCCAAACGCUGCCAGACCGAGCUCUGGGCCCUCAGCCCUCAUGGCACUGCCUCAGAUAAGAUACCUGAGGAAAGGCCUUGAGGGAGACGUUAAUUCACGGAUUUCCCUGAUGGAGAGCAGAGUACACACUGAUGUCCCACUCUGGUCAUUCCUUUCUGCAGACACCCCACUAUUCAAGGAGAAGCUGGGUGCUCUGUUACUCCAAGAGGCAGGUGUUGUCUCAGCUCCUGCCCUCAAACCAAGGAGGAUGGGGGUCUGACAACAAGGCCCUGGACCACCUACAAUUCUGGGAGUACUUCCUACAUGCCAGGCCCCAUGCUAAGUACUCUAUACAUUCACCUCUUUUCAUCUGUGCAACAAUUCUAUGAAGCACAUACUAGGUGACCCCUAUUUUACAGAUGUGCAAACUGAGGCCCAGAGAGGUUAUGUAAUUCAGCCAAAGUCACUAACAGGUGCCAGAGCUGGGCUAUGAACCCAUUAGACUCUGUAUUCUUGGGAAACCCACUUAAAAUACAUUGUUAAAUUGGCUAAAUUAGAGAGAUGAGAGGUUAGAAACAAAUCUGUUUUCUAAUUAAAAAAUAAAACCACGGAAACUUCCUAUCAUGAAUCAGGCUUGGCUGUGCCCCAUCUGAUGGUCAUUCAGCCUGAAGAUGAUCACUGGCCCCCCAGACUCCGCACGCCCUGUCCUGGCCCAGGUGGGGGGCUGGAUGUGUGUGUGGGGCGGGGGGCAGCAGAUGAGAAAGCUGACUCUCAUGACGGCCCUCUGGACCAGGUAGCUGUCCUCAGCCAGGAUUCCCCUCCUGCGGGCUCCGGACUCACAGCCUGUCCCCAUCAGGGUCCUGCCCCCUACAGGUUUCCUCGGAAACAAUGUGGUUUAGUGAAAAGAGACUCUUUGCAAGGGGAAAAAGCUGGAUUUGAAAUUCCAUCUCUCUUAUUUGUAGCUGCAUGUUCAGACGACUUUACCACUCCAGCUUCGGUUUCCUCAGCUGUGAAGCAGAGCUAAUCACUCCAACAACGUUAUAAAGAUUAAAUUAAAUGUGUGGUGAGAGAACACAGGGAAAGCUUUAUAAACAUUAGUAAUGAAAUCUAUAACAAAGUUCAUUUUCAUCAGGGUGUGAAUGACCAUUAGGAGUUUUGCAUUUUAAAGAAUACUUGCAUUUUAAAAGAGGAAUCUGAUAAAACAAAUGACGCUCAAAGCAGUGGGUUGUUGAUAUGACAUCAGAAAUCCAGGAAUCCCACUUACUUCCUCUGGCAGGCCUGGAGGACUGGAAUCGUGCUGUCCCUCCCUUCAAAGAGGCUCUGGCCCUGCUGUGUUGUUCUAGCUGGCAUUCACACUUGAGUGUGUUUCCUUGAACAGCCCUGCACAGAAACGAAUUGGUGCUUCCUGGUACACAUGGGUUGCUGAAGGGAGGGUAAGGAGGUGGGGUCUGCAUGCAGAUGGGAGCAGCUGUGAGAUCUCAGCUCUGCCCUGUAGGAUGGGGAGGUUGGGGGAAGAUGCCACUUCUGGCAGGAGCGGUGUCAGGAUCCGAACGCAUGAACCAUUAAGGUCAAACACAGGGCAAAAGGAGGCAGCCCAGCAGAACCAGUAACACCACCCACCAUGCUGGGAUCCACCACCCUGCAGGUACUAGUUGGCAUGCAAAUUCUUUACAUAACAAGACGCCAUUUAUGCUCUUAAUAUUCAGCCAAAGGCCCCCUCUGUGCACACGCUAUGUCAGGCACUGCUGGGGGAUACAAUGUAUGACGAUAAAAAGACAUUUUUAUCGCACAUUAGGAUUUCUGAGGUGCUCACACAUGCACUAUCUAACUGAACGCUUGAAACGAACUGUGCAGAACAUAGUCUAAUGCCCAUUUUGAGGUCAGGAAACUGAGGCUCAGGGAGGGUGUCCUGGGUCACAGUAAAUGGCAGAGCUCAGGCCACAGGCCAUUGGUUCACGCAUUCAUUCAUUCAGUCACAGAGUGGCCAGGAGUUUUCCGAAUUGAUUUUGGCGUAGAUCUGUAAUCUUUCAGAAAAGACUGGCUGCUGAGGCCAGAGGAUCCAGGAGCUUGUGAGAGGCAGGUACGCCUGUUUGGUUGAUGUGGUCUCCCCAGGACAGUGGGUGCUCUCUUGGACACAGAGGGGGGAGUAACAGGUAGAAACUGUGCCUUCAAACUGUGCCUCUCUUUUGCUCAGCUCCUACGAGUCCAGAGACGGAUCACAUUGGGGAAAGAGGCGGCCCAGCAUCCACCAAUCACACAGGCGGUCAGCUGCCACUUUACACCUGGUUUCAUCUCCACGACAUCCCUGGGAGGUGUUACAACCCCACUUUACAAACGAGAAAAGCAGGAGAGGGAUAGGAGGCAGAGGGCUGCUGCUCUGAGGUCGCCAGGAACGCUGACCGCUACAGGGCUGUCCACCAUCUUGCACGUCCUUCCCUUCCUUCCAUCCUCCUGCUGUCAUGGCUCUAGUUUACCCAGACCCUGAUUUUCUGUCUCUUGCACUACUGCAAUAAUUCCAUUUGACAUUCAUUUAAAAAAAUGUAUAUAUUUAGUGUCAAUGCUGGCCACUGGGAUAGAAUGAUGUGCAUAAGUUAGUGCCUGCCAUUCUAGUGAGGGACACGACAAGAGAACAGGCAACCCUAAAAGAGGAUGAGUGCUGCAGCAGGGAGAAGUCCAGGUGCAACCUGAGUGUGUGGCAGAUGCACCCAGUCCAGCUGGGGGAGGUGGGGGGAGGUGGUGCUCAUGGUCAAGGGAGGUUGGGGACCUCCAUGAUGAAUCCAAGUCAACCGUCUUCCUAAGAACCCCCUUUGAGAGUCCUUCUGAAAAUGAAAACCUAAGCGAACCACUCCUCUUCUCGAAACCCUUCAGUGGUUCCCUAUCAUCCACAGAAUGAAGGACAGGCUCCUUAGUGAGGCUCCCAAAGUUCUCCAUGUUCUGACCUCAUCUCCCACCAUGUCCCAACGUGCCUACAUGUUUGUCUCCUGCAGAAUGGAAGCAACUUGAAUGCAGGGCCUAUGCUCAGUUUAGUUCUCUGUAUCCACGGCCAGAACAGGGCUGCUAUAUAUUUAGGUGUGAUGGACUUAUUAAAAGAAUGAAUACAUUCCUGAGGUCUGAGCCCUUGUCCCCAAGGAGAAGGCCAAUUCUGCCUUCCCUUGGGUCUCCUGGUACGAAUGGUCCAAGCCCCCUGCAAUUUUGGUCACUGAGGGGAGAAGAGAAGUUUAAUAAGGAAUGGGGCAUGUGACCCUUCUGGGAUGGAGCUCUGCACCCCAAUUUCCUGAUCUCAGCCCUACAGCGAGUUCUUCCUAAGUCUUGACACAGAGGAGUCCUGGGUCAGUUUACACAUCCCCCGAGUCAGAGUCCAUGGAAAUUCCUUUGGGUGACCUGUCCCUUCCCCCAGUUCUCUGCAUCCCAUCCCUAGGAGCCGCAGCCCCUCACACAGUGCUCUGUACACAUCAAGCAUUUAGGGAGUUCUGUGUGAAUACUGAACACUCUACUCUUGCCACCAGGAUGCGGUUUAUAACGGAGACAAAUUCUCCUGUACUAAUUUUCAGGGAGAAAAGAAAUGCACUUCAAGCAAGAAAAUUGGGCAUCUGGGAACGUUUCCAGCCAGGAGAUUUCCAGCAGGACUUGAAAAAAUGUAGUCCAUCCCGCACUGCAACAGGCUGCGGGUGGGGUGGUGGCCUUUAUACUCCCCUUUCCCCAGCCCUGUGCUAGUCACCUCAGAGGUCACAGAAGGAGAUGUGGAGCCUGCCCAGCACAGUAUAACAAUGUGGAUUCCUUAUUUCAAAAGAGACAACAGUGUAGCUUAGGUUCUCUGUUUUCCCCCCACCAAAACUCAGAAACCAUAGCUGUGCUAGCCAAUAUCUUUGCAGAGUUAGACUGUGUCUGACCCACAUCAACCUCAGGGCUCCCAACUCCCGGGGAGAUAGUCUGAUCGUGUACAAAACGCUCCCCUCAGCCUUCUCUAAUUGUUAGCAUAGAGCUGGAGGGUCUCACAUAUUUUUGGGGGGAGGGCAGAGUAUGAGGAAUGAGGGAAUAGGAGGGGUAUGUGAUACCACUAUGCUCUCCAGAUGUGACAGGAAAGCAGCUGUUGGUGCCUUAACAUGGAACAGCAUGGUUUGUUCAUUCAUUCGAUAAAUGUUUGCCGAGUGGCAGGGACUGUUCUAAGCUCUUGGAGUCACAGUAGCAAACAAAACAAAGCUCCUGCCCUCAGGGAGCUUACGUGGUAGGAGAAAAGGACAACAAACAAACAAACAAACAGGAUAGAGGUAAUGAAGGAUGGGGCUGCUUUUUAAGACAGAGAUGCAGGGAAGGCCUCUUUGGGAAUGUUGUCCCAUUGUCAUUUUAAGCAAAUACCAGAAUGAAGUGAUGGAGGGAGCUGCUCGGAUGCGUGGAGGGGAGGAUUCCAGGCAGAGGGGCCGGCAAAGACCCUGGAGUGGGGAAGUACUUCUUGCAUUUGAGGUCGGCUUGGGGAAGGUGGGUAGAGGUGAGGUCAAAGGGGCUGUGGACCCAGGGGUGAUGCAGAUCCUAUGGGGCCUGGAAGCCAUGUUGAACGGACUCUGGGUGUCUGCUGCGCACCUUCUAUGUGCCAGACGUGUCCUAGGACGUGGGGAUACUCCGAUGAACAGUCAUGACCCCCUGCUUUCAUGCAGCUUAUGAUCUAGGGAAGGAUGACGGACAAAGAGAGGGAGUCCAGGACCCCAUGGUCAGUGCUAAGGGGGCACUUGGAGGAGCUGAGGGCUCAGGAAAGGCCUUCCAGAGGAGAUGUCACCAAAGCUGGCAGGAAGAAUUGUGAAAUAAGCCAGAAGUCAGCUGUGUUAUGGAUCCAGGUUUGCUCACUUGCUAUCUCAGUCAAGUCCCUUGAUGUCUCUGAGCCUCGACUUCACUGUGCAUAGAAUGGGAACAAUAACAAUACCUGUUCUCUAAAGAGAAAACGGGGUCAUAGGUGUGAAAGUGCUUUGAAAACUGUAAAGCCUCAGACAGAUGUAAAACACUGCUAUUAGCUCACUGCACUCUUUUCUCUUCCUACGUAUUUUGUUACUCUGGGUUUGAGCGCACAGGCUCCCGGCCUCUCUCCUUCCCCCUGGAGCCAGCUGGAGCUGAUGGCUCAGUCUGUGAAGAUCUAAGCCAGGUUUCUCGGCCAGAGGCCUGGUUGCAUCAUGUGGACUCCAUGCAUACCGUGGCCACCAGUAGGGCUGCUGGAGCCACCCUCAUGGCAUCUGCUCCAGUGGUAACUGGAAUUGCUCAAACACAUGUGUAGACACCUGUUUGCUUCUGGGCUCUUUGUCUUCUCCAACCAGAACCAGAGAUGGGACCCUGACCCUGCUCCCCAAGCCCCAGAUGAGAGGCGGCCACCCUGCACUGCCGCUUUCCUGCAUCCGAGAGGGGGACACUGUUGCCACAUACAACAGGCUUGGCUCUGUCCAGAGCUGCAUUUCUCUGUAGCAAGAGGCAUUCAGCCAGGGAAAGAGAAGAGCAUGCUCUCUCUAUAAACAAGGUCCAUCUGGGGAGUAAAUUUCCAUCUGCAGAUUGGCAAAGUCAUAGUUUAACACCAAACAAUCCCCAACGAACUUAGAAUGAAGUGCUUUCCACAAACCUUAUUCCAUGGUUAAGAAGCUCUUUUUCCUAAGUCGCUUCAUGAAGAAGACAGUUUCCUUUCAAUAAUCCCAGGCUUUAUGUAUUUCAUUUUCCAGGGUAUUUUCUCCAAUCAGAGUUGUCCUAUGGAAAACUCACCCUCCUCAGCUGAAACACCCAUUCUCGAUUCCUAGGGGAACACUGGCUGGGUUCAGGUACUGGUUCUGUGACCCCGAGCACCCCUUGGGCCUCAAAAACUAUCUGUAAAAUGGGGGGAUGAGAACAGAUGACUCCAAGGUCUCAGGACCCUUUGUUUUUGGGGUUCUUCUUUUUUUUAGUUUUUUUUUAAAAUAGACUUUAUUUUUAGAGCAAUUUUAGGUUCACAGCAAAAUUAAGUGGGAGAUAAGGAGAUUUCCCAUAUACGCCCUGCCCCCACUCAUACCUAGCCUCCCACAUAAUCAACAUCCCCACCAGAGCGGUACGUUUGUUACAACGGAUGAACCUACACUGACACAUCAUUAUCACCCAUAGUUUACAUUAGAGUUCACCCUUGGUGUUGUAUAUUCUGUGAGUUUGGACAAGUGUAUGACAAAUGCAUCACAUGUAGGCACAAUUGUAGUAUGCAGAGUAGUUUCACUGCCCUAAAAUUCCUCUGUGCUCCGCCUAUUCAUUCUUUCCCUCCUCUCCACUCCUGUUUUAAAUUCUAUGCUUAAAAUAUAUGAUUUCAACUACUGCUCUAUGUUUAGAAACUCCUCCGCUCUGAGAUUCAAUACCAAGUUACCUGUGCUAGUUUGACUUGUUUUGUGUGUUUCCUUCUAUAAUUUUUCAGUAUAAAGUGAAGAUCUACAUAUUUAACAAUAAGAAUAGUUAAUCAAUCAUCCUUCUUUAAACUCUCUUUCCCCCCAAAUAUAUGUGACUCCCAUUCAUCACCAGCUAAAUUGUAACUAUGUAAUAGUCUACUUCUGCGUUAUAUUCUGUGCCAUUCAUCUGUCCAUUUAUUUUUUUGUCAAUUAAAACUACUUAAUAAAAGUGUA